UACGGGGGGAGCAAGCGUUGUUCGGAUUUACUGGGCGUAAAGGGCGCGUAGGCGGUCGUGACAAGUCACUUGUGAAAUCUCCGGGCUUAACUCGGAACGGUCAAGUGAUACUGUCGGACUAGAGUACAGGAAGGGGCAACUGGAAUUCUCGGUGUAGCGGUGAAAUGCGUAGAUAUCGAGAGGGAACACCUGGCGGCGAAGGCGGGUUGCUGGGCU
rnacentral:rRNA from 1 species